rnacentral:rRNA from 1 species
UACGUAGGGUGCAAGCGUUUGUCCGGAAUUAUUGGGCGUAAAGAGCUCGUAGGCGGUUUGUCGCGUCUGCUGUGAAAACCCGAGGCUCAACCUCGGGCCUGCAGUGGGUACGGGCAGACUAGAGUGCGGUAGGGGAGAUUGGAAUUCCUGGUGUAGCGGUGGAAUGCGCAGAUAUCAGGAGGAACACCGGUGGCGAAGGCGGGUCUCUGGGCAGUAACUGACGCUGAGGAGCGAAAGCGUGGGGAGCGAACAGG